AUCUGUCCGAUGUUUUUGACAACAACUGUGUCAUUUAUGCCACAGUGAAGGCUUCCUACGUGUUGGCAAAAAGCAGCAGCUUCACAAACUGUGAAAGUACAGAGGAAAUCUUUCCUUCUGGGUUCCGUGGACCACAGGAGGCUGAGCUCUGCACUGAUGGAUUCCAGAACACUGAGAAGAAAACUCAAGAUGGUCUAAGAUCUCCUCUGAAGAAGAGAGAAAACCCUUUUGAUGAUCAACACUCUCUAAAAAAGCGAGAUUGUCAGUUAGAGGAUGCAGAAAAGGAUCCACCGUUGACACAAAAAGGAGGUGAGUGUAACUGUCUUCUUUGUCAGGUAAUAUCAGGUGUUAAUGUGACUUUCUUUCAUGUCAAUCUGAGUAACAUCCAGGGUUUCCUUUCAUCUGUCUGGAGUGAGUUGACAAAAAUACACCAGGAACUUUCUCAAGGGCAAGUUUCAGAGCCAGAGUUUAUCAGUCAAAGCAUAGAUUUAGAGAGAAAAACAUUCCAAUGUGCUAAUCUGAACUGUAUGACUCCUAAACAGUUAAUAAGAGCUCAGAGUACGAAGUUAUGUGAAAAUCGUCAUUCUUAAAAAAACAAAACUUGUUUUUUACUUAUUAGGUAUGAAACUAUGUCAUUUGUAAGACAAUGCUUCUUUUUAAACGUGAUUGUGUUUAAAAAAUAUUAUUUUUUAUGCAAG
rnacentral:lncRNA from 1 species